ensembl:snRNA U6 U6 spliceosomal RNA
GCGCCCUUCUGUAGCACACACUAAAAUUGGAAUGAUACAGAGAUUAGGUUGGCCCCUGUGCAAAGUUGACUUGACUUAGAAUUUGUGAAGUGGUUCAUGUUUGA